AUACAUAUAUAUCAUGGAUUUGCAGAAUAUUGUCUCCGACAUGAUAAAUUAAAAAGAUUAAAAUGUUUCUAAUCAUGAUUAAUCUCACUCUGUGAUAUUUCCUGAAAACUUGCAAUUAUUAAAAGUCAUUUAAAACCCCUCUGUUACUUAAGUCACUAUGGAAUAUGAAAUGGUAGAGUAUGAGUAUCUUAUUCUUGAUAUCGUUGUUGCUUGGAGAAUUUAUUUCAAAAUCUUCAAAAAUUCUAGCUACCAUCCUCAGUAUUUUAUAUGCCUGAUAAACCUAAAAAUAUUAACUAUGAUAAUUAUAAAAGCUAUCUGCUCUGUAUUGAGUUUGUUCAAAAUGAGUUAGACCCUUGUUGAGAGAUUUAUCAUGCUCCUAAGAUCAAGACAUUUAUUCAGAAAGAUUCACUCUUCCGAAGUAUUAUUGCGUUAGAGGCAUGGGCUAUGCAAAAAUAUGAAUAUUUCAAGGAAAUAAAAUGGAGCAAGUGCUCGACAACCUCGCAGAAAAAAUGGACAAGUGUCCGGCAGUAGAAUUAGGGGUACCUCGGUAUCCACCUGAAAAAAAUAGAAAAGAAAGAAAAUGAUAGCCCAUGGUCCCUGAAAUAAGCAAUAUGCUAGUAAGAGUUGAGAAGUUUUUAAUUUCCAAAGUUUUUGAUCUAAGAGUAUGACAUUCCUUUCCUCGGAUCCUGUUUUGAUCAGGCAAUAAAUGCAAGGUAAGUAUGCUAGAGAAUUUUUGCAAAUUAAAACAGCCUCAGUGAGAUAUAUAAAAGAUAAUUCAUGAUCUGACAGAACCUAUGAGGAUAAAGGUAUGCUAAAUUUCUUCUCAAAAAUAUACAAAAAC
rnacentral:lncRNA from 1 species